CGCUGGUUCCUGUCCUAUGACAGGCCAAGAGGGAAUGCGACAGGCAUCACGUCUGAAAGCAGCCGCCCCCGCGACCGUGACCGGAAAGGUCGCCCAAGCCACUGGCGAAUGCCGGGAAGGCGGGCCGACCGUUGGGGAAACCCUGAAUCCGCAAGCCGGGAGACCUGCCAGCGCAC
rnacentral:ncRNA from 1 species